rnacentral:rRNA from 1 species
AACGAACGCUGGCGGCAUGCCCAACACAUGCAAGUCGAACGCCCUCUUCGGAGGGAGCGGCGCACGGGUGAGUAACGCGUGGGAACCUGCCCAGAGGUCUGGGACAACCGCGGGAAACUGCGGCUGAUACCGGAUGAUUCCUGAGGGACAAAGAUUUAUCGCCUUUGGAGGGGCCCGCGUCGGAUUAGGUAGUUGGUGGGGUAACGGCUCACCAAGCCUAUGAUCCGUAACUGGUCUGAGAGGAUGACCAGUCACACUGGGACUGAGACACGGCCCAGACUCCUACGGGAGGCAGCAGUGGGGAGUAUUGGACAAUGGGGGGCAACCCUGAUCCAGCAAUGCCGCGUGGGUGAUGAAGGCCUUCGGUUGUAAGCCUUCGCGGGGACGGAUGAUGACGGUACCCGCAGAAGAAGCCCCGGCUAACUUCGUGCCAGCAGCCGCGGUAAU